rnacentral:lncRNA from 10 species
GAGGCCCUAAUUGGUUUUCCCAAGACAGAGGGGCAUAUGAGAUUGAACAAAUAUUUGUUGAAUGAAUGAACAAAGGGAACGCCUUUUAGGGAUGUUUCUGGGGGAAAGGCCUGAGGUUCUCCAGGAGGGUCUGCAGCUAGGGUCGGCCGUGGGGGCUCGCAGCCCGCGGGACCACCGGACCUGCAAGCGUCCCCCUGCCCCGCCCCCGCCUCGGCGCUCUGAGCAAUUGGACUCUGCCAGCUCUAACUCCGGCGGGACUCUGAAACUCAGGCAAGAGCCGAGAAUCCUAGAUGGAAUGAGCUUAAGCAGUAAUCGGAGACAUAUUGGUUUAUAUGGCCAAUCUGCAGAAAGGCUGCUGUGUGUGAAAACCUGACUCCAGUCCUCCCAGCCUCUAGGACCCUGCCCAGACCUGGCCUACCUUCUUCCUCACCGCCACUGGAAAAAAACAGACGUCAAAAGCCUUAACAAAAUACUGUCUGAUAUAGCAAAAUGGAACAUGUUUCCUACUAGAAGUAUAUGACCCGAAGGGGGAAAAAUCUGACUCAUUUUAAAAACAAUUGUUAGGGGUGUGUGUGUUUUGAGAGAAAGAAAUAGAAAAGGGCCAAUGUAUUUGCUAUUAAAAAAAUCUUCAAAAUAACAGAAAAAAUUUAAAACUAUGUACUCAAAAAAUGAAUUGCUUUUGUCGUAUUAGAAGUCUAGCCAACAGAAGUAAGGGGAUGGAGACUGAACCAACCAGAGGAGAAAAGGUGGAAGGCGCUGCCCCAGCAGAGACCAGAACAGGGCCAGAUAAAGUUAGGGUCAAAGAUCCACACCCUGUUUGGAAACUAAGCAAUCAACAAGUGUCAGUUGUUAUUUAGGUGCACCAAACAUUUUGGGGGGAAAUGUGAUUUCAGACACAGAUAAUUAUAUGAUAGGGGCCUAUUUGGCUUUCAGAGAAAAUUUUCAAGAUAAAUCAGUAGCUUUAAAUAAAAAUCUAAGUUUGUAAUCAAAGUUUUUCAGAAAUAGCAGAGAAACAUAUUUUCCUUUAAGUAGUUCUCUGUUAAUAGUCUCUAGUCUCAAGCAGUUUUAAUUUUAAAUAGGACUACCUCUAACUUUGUGGGGUCUGGGGCAAGGGUACAAAUAGAGGCCCAUACAGCAUAUACCUAGAUAUUUAAUUUUUUGUUUGUUUGUUUUUUGAGAUGGAGUCUUGCUCUGUCACCCAGGCUGGAGUGCAGUGGCAUGAUCUUGGCUCACUGCAACCUCCACCUCCCUAGUUCAAGCGAUUCUCCUGCUUCAGUCUCCUGAAUAGCUGGGACUACAGGUGCGCGCCACCAUGCCUGGCUAAUUCUUUGUAUUUUUAAUAGAGACAGGGUUUCACCAUGUUAUUCAGGCUGGUCUCGAACUCCUGACCUCAAAUGAUCCACCCACCUCAGCCUCCCAAAGUGCUGGGAUUACAGGCGUGAGCCACUGCGCCUGGCCUGCCAUUCCCUUCUUCCAAUUCUAUUAGGAGGCAGUGUGAAGAAUUCUUUCCCUGCUAUAUGAAUUACAUCACCUACCUUAAAAGUAGGCAGCUACAGUUGGGGUUGAUUGU